rnacentral:rRNA from 1 species
CAGUCGCCGCGGUAAUCCGUAGGUGGCAAGCGUUGUCCGGAAUCAUUGGGCGUAAAGCGCGCGCAGGCGGAUAGGUCAGUCUGUCUUAAAAGUUCGGGGCUUAACCCCGUGAUGGGAUGGAAACCGCCAAUCUAGAGUAUCGGAGAGGAAAGUGGAAUUCCUAGUGUAGCGGUGAAAUGCGUAGAUAUUAGGAAGAACACCAGUGGCGAAGGCGACUUUCUGGACGAAAACUGACGCUGAGGCGCGAAAGCCAGGGGAGCGAACGGGAUUAGAUACCCCCGUAGUCCCUGUCUCUUAUACA